AGCGAACGCUGGCGGCGUGCCUAACACAUGCAAGUCGAACGUGAAAUGGGGCAACCCAAAGUAAAGUGGCGUACGGGUGAGUAACGCGUAGGUAAUCUACCCCAGAGUCUGGAAUAACCGGCCGAAAGGCUGGCUGAUACUGGAUAGAGCGACGGAAUCCGUAAUUGGGUUUUUCGGGAAAGGGAGGACGUAAGUCCCUUCGCUCUGGGAUGAGCCUGCGUCUCAUUAGCUAGUUGGUGAGGAACGGCUCACCAAGGCAUUGAUGGGUAGCUGGUCUGAGAGGAUGAUCAGCCACACUGGAACUGAAACACGGUCCAGACUCCUACGGGAGGCAGCAGUGGGGAAUCUUGCGCAAUGGACGAAAGUCUGACGCAGCCACGCCGCGUGAGUGAAGAAGGCCUUGGUGUAA
rnacentral:rRNA from 1 species